rnacentral:lncRNA from 1 species
GGACAGCACGCAACGGAGCCCCCAAUCCCGGAAACUCAAACACAGUGUCGGUCAUAUCCUUGAAACUUUCGUUCACUCGUGCAUGGAUCGUCGGUAAAUAUAAGAAAGCCCCGAGAGCCGCCGCGCCCGAAGUGAAAAAAUAGAAAGUUGGGAUGUUGAGCUCCUUGGCUAUGGCCAUCGCGGAGGCGCAGAACAGGUCGAUGAUAAACGCCCGAACUCGAAACGUUUUGGAGAGUUCUUGUAGCGCACGGCGGACGUUGGGGUCGUUCUGACGAACGAAAUCGAACAACACGGCGGGCAGGCUACGAGUUUGGCCAUGGUGGUUAGUUGGGGCGGCGCGUGGGAAGCGGAGGAAGGAAAUGGAUGGAUGGGACUGGGUGAUGCGGUCGAUGUAGGCGGGGAUGCUCGGUGUGUCGAUAAUGCUUCCGGUGGCGUAGAGCACGGUGACCGAGAAUUUGUGGGAGUAGUGCUUGAGGAUCAGCUUGCCUAGCUCCACCAUGGAGAUGAGGUGCCCCAUUCCUGGAGCAGCAUAGAAGACUAUGGUGUCUGCCAUUUUACUGUGUCUCAACUCUGAAGGUUCGAGGAUUGUUUAGUUAUAGAUCAGGUAGGACAAGUUACGUGGAGGACUUUGGUACCGCUUUGUUUAGUUAUAGAUCAUGGACGACG